AUAUUCAUCACAAAAUUGGGUAUUGGUUCCUAAGAUAAAAUGACCAGGGUCAGUUUAUUGUAAUAAUACUGAGGUCAUUGCUUAAGAAAGGAACAUAGGUCUCAUUUGACACCCAAGCACAUCCACUGACGCUUCCAUCUCAUUCAAAAAAAUAUAACGGGACAAAAUGUUAUCCUAAAACAAGAAUAAUAUAGCAGACCCAUUCACUAAGGCCAUACCACA
rnacentral:lncRNA from 1 species